ensembl:snoRNA
AGCCAAUGAUGAGUUUGUGUGUAAGAGUAGUGGACAGAAGUGAUUUCUGAUAAAGUAUUUCUGAGGCU